CACACAGACACCAUGACUUUCAUCACCAUCUUCAUCUGGACACUGACCUGCUGCUGUUUUAAAGAGUCCAGAGGACAGGUGACAGUGACUCAGACUCCUGUAGUGAAAUCUGCUCUUCCAGGACAAACAAUUACCAUCAACUGUGGAAUGAACAUUGCUGUGGAUAACGACUGUGGUUCCAGUAAAUCGUACUACUGUGUCUACUGGUUUAAAGUGAAACCGGGUCAGGCUCCCAAACGCCUGAUUUACUAUGCAAAUCAGUUACAGUCAGGAAUUCCAGAUCGUUUCAGUGGCAGUGGAUCCGGGACUGACUUCACUCUGACCAUCAGAGGAGUCCAGACUGAAGAUGCAGGAGAUUAUUACUGUCUGACAGAUCAUUACAACACAUAUAAAAAAUCGCUCUUCACACAGUGA